CAGUAGCCACGGUAAUACGAGGGGGGCAAGCGUUGUUCGGAAUUAUUGGGCGUAAAGGGUGCGUAGGCGGUUUGGUAAGUCUUGUGUGAAAUCUUCGGGCUCAACCCGAAGCCUGCACGAGAAACUGCCGGGCUUGAGUAUGGGAGAGGUGAGUGGAAUUUUCGGUGUAGCGGUGAAAUGCGUAGAGAUGUGGAGGAACACCAGUGGCGAAGGCGACUCUCUGGUCUGUAACUGACGCUGAGGAGCGAAAGCGUGGGGAGCGAACAGGAUUAGAUACCCCCGUAGUCCCUGUCUCUUAUAC
rnacentral:rRNA from 1 species